UCGUUGCAAUUCGCUUUCACCAGUGACUUUGGUGUUGGCCAAUGCGACUAAGGCACGCGGUGAAUGCCAAUUGCGACUUC
rnacentral:pre_miRNA from 1 species